UGGGGAAUAUUGCACAAUGGGCGAAAGCCUGAUGCAGCAACGCCGCGUGAGUGAUGAAGGCCUUCGGGUUGUAAAGCUCUGUCUUUUGGGACGAUAAUGACGGUACCAAAGGAGGAAGCCACGGCUAACUACGUGCCAGCAGCCGCGGUAAUACGUAGGUGGCAAGCGUUGCCUGCAUUGAUCUGGGCGUAAAGGAUGCGUAGGCGGAUUUUUAAGUGAGAUGUGAAAACCCUAAGCUUAACUUGGGGACUGCAUUUCAUACUGGAAAUCUAGAGUGCGGAAGAGGAGAAUGGAAUUCCUAGUGUAGCGGUGAAAUGCGUAGAGAUUAGGAAGAACACCAGUGGCGAAGGCGAUUCUCUGGACCGUAACUGACGCUGAGGCAUGAAAGCGUGGGUAGCAAACAGGAUUAGAUACCCUGGGUAGUCCACGCCGUAAACGAUGAGUACUAGGUGUAGGAGGUAUCGACCCCUUCUGUGCCGCAGUUAACACAAUAAGUACUCCGCCUGGGAAGUACGAUCGCAAGAUUAAAACUCAAAGGAAUUGACGGGGUCAUAGCUGUUUCCU
rnacentral:rRNA from 1 species